CUGGAAUGACCAGAGUUAAGGUAGUCUCAUUUUCAGACCAAGGCCUGGGACCUUCAGUUUUAAACACAUGUGUCUGUUGAUCUGAAUGAUGGGAGAAUGACCCCAGAGCGAAGACUUUGGCCAUGUUAGAGCACGGGUCAGAUGAGAAAGGCCAGCAAACUGUUCCGUAUGGCCUUCAAGAUCCUGGAGGCAGGAGAACCUCCUACCUUCACUGCUUAACCACAGAAAGAACAGCCAGCCUGUAAGAAAAUGAACCUCAUGCCUUAUCCAGAAAUAGUGAAGGGCUCCACACAGAGCCACGCCCUCAUGUCCAGGCUUGGCCACAGCCCUAGGCAAUGAAAAGCAGUAUCUGCCACUUUGGGGGAGAAGAUCAGGUCAAAAGCUCACCAAACACGAAGUUCAGCUAUAAUUCACCUCAGCGUUCGCAUGUCUGUGCUGUCAGCCCAGGGACAUAAGAAUACUAUCUCGGAUGCAUGUCUAUCAAAUACCUGGAGGCCAUGAAUGACAAUAGCAACUGAGAAGAGGAAGCAACUUGGCAUGAGGGACUGAGAGUUAUGUGAUCUCUGUG